rnacentral:rRNA from 1 species
UGAGGUAACGGCCCACCAAGGCGACGAUCGGUAGCCGGACUGAGAGGUUGAACGGCCACAUUGGGACUGAGACACGGCCCAGACUCCUACGGGAGGCAGCAGUGGGGAAUAUUGCACAAUGGGGGAAACCCUCAUGCAGCGACGCCGCGUGGAGGAAGAAGGUCUUCGGAUUGUAAACUCCUGUUGUUGGGGAAGAUAAUGACGGUACCCAACAAGGAAGUGACGGCUAACUACGUGCCAGCAGCCGCGGUAAAACGUAGGUCACAAGCGUUGUCCGGAAUUACUGGGUGUAAAGGGAGCGCAGGCGGGAAGACAAGUUGGAAGUGAAAUCCAUGGGCUCAACCCAUGAACUGCUUUCAAAACUGUUUUUCUUGAGUAGUGCAGAGGUAGGCGGAAUUCCCGGUGUAGCGGUGGAAUGCGUAGAUAUCGGGAGGAACACCAGUGGCGAAGGCGGCCUACUGGGCACCAACUGACGCUGAGGCUCGAAAGUGUGGGUAGCAAACAGGAUUAGAUACCCUGGUAGUCCACACCGUAAACGAUGAUUACUAGGUGUUGGAGGAUUGACCCCUUCAGUGCCGCAGUUAACACAAUAAGUAAUCCACCUGGGGAGUACGACCGCAAGGUUGAAACUCAAAGGAAUUGACGGGGGCCCGCACAAGCAGUGGAGUAUGUGGUUUAAUUCGACGCAACGCGAAGAACCUUACCAAGUCUUGACAUCCGUUGACCGCUGUAGAAAUACAGUUUUCCUUCGGGACAGCGAGACAGGUGGUGCAUGGUUGUCGUCAGCUCGUGUCGUGAGAUGUUGGGUUAAGUCCCGCAACGAGCGCAACCCUUAUGGUCAGUUACUACGCAAGAGGACUCUGGCCAGACUGCCGUUGACAAAACGGAGGAAGGUGGGGAUGACGUCAAAUCAUCAUGCCCUUUAUGACUUGGGCUACACACGUACUACAAUGGCGUUAAACAAAGAGAAGCAAGACCGCGAGGUGGAGCAAAACUCAGAAACAACGUCCCAGUUCGGACUGCAGGCUGCAACUCGCCUGCACGAAGUCGGAAUUGCUAGUAAUCGUGGAUCAGCAUGCCACGGUGAAUACGUUCCCGGGCCUUGUACACACCGCCCGUCACACCAUGAGAGCCGGGGGGACCCGAAGUCGGUAGUCUAACCGCAAGGAGGACGCCGCCGAAGGUAAAACUGGUGAUUGGGGUGAAGUCGUAACAAGGUAGCCGUAGGAGAACCUGCGGCUG